rnacentral:lncRNA from 1 species
UUGCAUUCGUUUGUAUAUAUUUGCAUUUACUGUUUGCAUUUAUUAUUUGCAUUAAUGUUUGCAUUCAUUCAUUGUUUACCUGGCUGGCUGGUUGUCUGUUUCUCUCUGUUGGGGUGGGAGUUACUCGAGGUAAAAGGCCCAAUACCCAGGCCAUGAGUGAAACCUAGGAUACUUAGGAAUAGAGUGAUUCAUGGGAAGCGGGUGGUAUUGCGCCACUUAGUGGAACAUUGAAAUCACGAGCAGUUCAGACCCUGG